rnacentral:rRNA from 1 species
ACGAACGCUGGCGGCAUGCCUAACACAUGCAAGUCGAACGAGACCUUCGGGUCUAGUGGCGCACGGGUGCGUAACGCGUGGGAACCUGCCCUUAGGUUCGGAAUAACUCCCCGAAAGGGGUGCUAAUACCGGAUAAUGUCUUCGGACCAAAGAUUUAUCGCCUUUGGAUGGGCCCGCGUUGGAUUAGCUAGUUGGUAGGGUAAAAGCCUACCAAGGCGACGAUCCAUAGCUGGUCUGAGAGGAUGAUCAGCCACACUGGGACUGAGACACGGCCCAGACUCCUACGGGAGGCAGCAGUGGGGAAUAUUGGACAAUGGGCGAAAGCCUGAUCCAGCAAUGCCGCGUGAGUGAUGAAGGCCUUAGGGUUGAAAAGCUCUUUUACCCGGGAUGAUAAUGACAGUACCGGGAGAAUAAGCUCCGGCUAACUCCGUG